UACGUAGGAGGCGAGCGUUGUCCGGAAUUACUGGGCGUAAAGAGCUCGUAGGCGGCCUGUUGCGUCCGCUGUGAAAGCCCGGGGCUUAACCCCGGGUCUGCAGUGGAUACGGGCAGGCUAGAGGUAGGUAGGGGAGAAUGGAAUUCCCGGUGUAGCGGUGAAAUGCGCAGAUAUCGGGAGGAACACCGGUGGCGAAGGCGGUUCUCUGGGCCUUACCUGACGCUGAGGAGCGAAAGCGUGGGGAGCGAACAGG
rnacentral:rRNA from 1 species